GGCAUUGUGGUUCAGUGGUAGAAUUCUUGCCUUUCAUGCAGGAGACCCAGGUUCAAUUCCUGGCCAAUGUACCU